rnacentral:rRNA from 1 species
UACGGGGGGGGCAAGCGUUGUUCGGAAUUACUGGGCGUAAAGGGCGCGUAGGCGGUGCUCUAAGUCGGAUGUGAAAACUCUGGGCUCAACCCAGAGCCUGCAUCCGAAACUGGAGUGCUAGAGUUCUGGAGGGGGUAGCGGAAUUCCUGGUGUAGCGGUGAAAUGCGUAGAUAUCUGGAGGAACACCGGUGGCGAAGGCGGCAUCCUGGACCGAUACUGACGCUGAGGAGCGAAAGCCAGGGGAGCAAACGGG